UACGGAGGGUGCAAGCAUUAAUCGGAAUUAUUGGGCGUAAAGGGCGCGUAGGCGGGUUAGUAAGUCAGAUGUGAAAUUCCGGGACUCAAUUCCGGAGCUGCAUUUGAAACUGCUUGUCUUGAGGAUUGGCGGAGAGAACGGAAUUCCACGUGUAGCGGUGAAAUGCGUAGAUAUGUGGAAGAACACCGGUGGCGAAAGCGGUUCUCUAGCUAAUAACUGACGCUGAGGCGCGAGAGCAAGGGGAGCAAACAGG
rnacentral:rRNA from 1 species